CUUGGUGUACUGAUACAAGUUGUUUUGUUUCAGGCGUGGAUUCUCGGAUAGUGGAGGAGGACCCCCAGCGAAACAGAGGGAUCUAGAAGGGGCGACCAAUAGAUUAGCUGGGGAACGUCGGACAAGGAGAGAAUCACGCCAUGAAAGCGACGCAGAGGAUGAUGAUGUUAAAAAACCAGCGUUGCAGUCUUCUGUUGUUGCUACCUCCAAAGAGCGAACACGUCGAGACCUUAUUCAAGAU